AUGCCGGCCGGGGGCGGGGGCGGUGGCGCGGGGGCGAAGAUCAAGGCGACGCCGCGGGCGCUCUUCUCCUGCGGCAUCUUCAGCACCUGCACGCACCCGGCGCUCAGCCCCACGGCCACGCCCAACAACAAUGGCGCGGCGGGGAACGGUGGGGUGAAGGGUGGUGGUGGUGGUGGGUCGGCCACUCCGGGCGGCGACGCGUCGCCGGCGCUGGUGGAGGCGGCCGCGGCCUCGGCGGUGCCGUCGCCUGUGCAGUGGCAUCGUCAGAAGCAGGUGGUGCACGGGGGUAAUGCUAACGGCAGCAACGGCGCCGGGCCGUCGUCCUCUUCCUCGUCCUCGUCGAGCUCCGCGUCGCAGAGCUUCACGCAGUGGCGGCUGCCGGUGCACCACCCGCAGCACGCGGCCUCGUCGGCGUCCGCGGCGGGGGCAGGGGCGGCCAGCCACGCGGUGGCGGGCAGCACGGAGGAGAAGUUCGCGGCGGGGGAUGUGGUGGCGGCGCUGCGGGCGGUGGAGCGGGAGAUGGAGGCCACAGAAAGUUCAAAGACGGUGCCGCCUGCCGUCGUUGCCGGGGUGGUCGCCGCGGUGCGGGAGCCGGCGACGGCGAGGCUGGCGGCGAAGGUGCUGCUGGUGAUGCUCCUGGAGGAGGGGAACCGCGAGGCGGCGGUGGAGGCGGGCGCGGCGUCGGCGGCCGUGGAGGCGGUGGCGGCGUCGGGCCCCGCGGGCGCGACGGCGGAGCGCGCGCUGGCGGCGCUGGAGCUGCUCUGCACGGCGGCCGGGGGCACCGCGGCCGUGCGCAGGGAGGCCCUGGCGGCGCCCGUGCUGGCGCGCGCCGUGGAGGGCAUGUCCGGGCGCGGGCGCGAGUGCGCCAUCGGCGUGCUGGCGGCCAUCUACGGCGGCGAGGAGGCGGCCGGCGCGUCCCCGCCGCCGCCGGAGGUGGUGAAGGCGGUGGUGGGCGCGAUGCAGGGCGAGUGCAGCGCGCGCGGGCGGCGCAAGGGCGCCCAGCUCCUCCGCGCGCUCCAGGAGGGCGGCCGCCUCGGGCUCGCCUGGGACGGCGUCGGCGGCUCCUGA
rnacentral:rRNA from 1 species